GGACCACAACCCAGAAGCUGUCAUCUUAUCAGCUAGUAGACACUUCCGAGGCCGAGAGCUGGGAGAUGCGCACCUGUUCUGUACUCUGCUGUCCCAGCAGCAUCGCACUAGGCGAUGCUGUCAUGCUGUUGCUUGUCAGAGCUGAGCAGGCUGUUUGCAUUACAGUGUCACCGCAUGGUGGGCCUUUCUUUCCCAGCCACACCAGGUAAUAGUCUACAUAGGGGGGUCCUGGAAAUCCCCCCUGCUCAAACACCAACAGACCGAAAGUCCCCCCUCCUUCUGUCUCUGCACUUGACAUGGAUUUCUCCCUCCCCUUCUACAGGCAGCUCUCCUGCUGUGUUCAGGGCAGCCCAACAAUCUCAUUGUGUUGUAAAAAAGCACUACUGCUCGCCCUACAGUCAGUCCCAUAAAAUCUGAUGAUGAUAACGCUGCGGAAGCAGGUCCCUCAAUAGAAGUCUUGAGCAGCAGAAGGCGGCCUCCUGAACCACACAAAAAAUGGAAACAUGUCCCUACAAAGAAAGCCAGGUCUGAUGGCCACUCCCAAUCACUGCAGGCUACCCCACCACGAAGAUUGUCUGCAGUUUCUACGGUCCCACCACUCCAAAUUUUGGACACACCUCCAAGACGCCAACCACACUGAAUACAAGUACUGCUACCAGCAUCCCUACGCAACACCAGCUACACAGUGACAUGGAUGAGACAAUAAUUUUACAAAUGCUGCCAGUAAUUGAAGGAAAUAGCCCCCCACCACCUGUGAGUACACCACCACAGCAAAACACACAACCACCACCACCACCACCACCACCACCGCCACCACAACACAGCCCAACAACACCAGUAGCACAAGGCCCUGAUCAAGUGUUUUGGGAUAAUUGGGCUACACAGCAGGCAACUAAUCAGGAUUGCCUGCGUAGGCAGACCCAAAUAUUUUCCAGCCUACCAUCUCACCUCAGAAGAAUCAGCAGAAAUAUCAGCCACCAAAAUGAACCAACCACGAGAAUUGCCAAUACCACAGAAAUCAGGCGGGCAGACAUUACACAUGUCAUGGGCAACUUACAACACAUAAUAGAAGAACAGCACAGACAACAGCAAAGGUACCUCAAGAUUUUAGAAACCAAUCAAAUGAUCAAUGAAUCUAUCACCAGAAUUUUAGAAAAUUAAAAUGCUGCAACACGAGAACUCAAUGCCACCCUCACUAACCUCAAUGAAACACUCAGAUUUCAGCACCAACAGCAACCAAGCAGCAGUUCUGGUAUGACAACUCCAAUUAUAUCGCCUGUGUCCUCACCACCAAGGCACUCCACCAGAGCAUGCCGACACAACAGUGGUAAAGGCAAAGGCCUGUCCAAGCAGCCGCCCAAAAAAACAUAAAACAUAUAGAUACCGAUUUCUGUUAUGAGAAGUUAGUAAGUGUAUGAUUGUGUGUAUAUAUAUAUAUAUAUAUAUAUAUAUAUAUAUACCACUUAGCACCUUAAUAAUUAAACAACAUCAUUAAUUAUAACUGUUACAAACAACAAAAGGACUUUUUUCGUAACAAUGAUUAUUGACAUUCUUUGCAUUUUUUUGGAGGAGGACAAUGUUCUUUGAGCUACACAUUGUUCUUAGCAUGCAGAAAUAAGUCCACAUUAUUUGAUUAUCUAAUGAAUACUUCUUGAUUCCAAUCAGUCUCAUAUCCUGCAGCUGUACUAAUUGGCAGCCAUGUAGAAUGUAUUUAUCAUGAAGAAAUAAGUCCACAUUAUUUGAUUAUCUAAUGAAUAAUUCUUGAUUCCAAUCAGUCUCAUAUCCUGCAGCUGUACUAAUUGGCAGCCAUGCAGCAUGUCUUUAGCAUGCAGAAAUAAGUCCACAUUAUUUGAUUAGCUAAUGAAUACUUCGUGAUUCCAAUCAGUCUCAUAUCAUGCAGCUUUACUAAUUGGCAGCCAUGCAGAAUGUCUUUAGCAUGCAGAAAUAAGUCCACAUUAUUUGAUUAUCUAAUGAAUAAUUCUUGAUUCCAAUCAGUCUCAUAUCCUGCAGCUAUACUAAUUGGCAGCCAUGCAGAAUGUCUUUAGCAUGCAGAAAUAAGUCCACAUUAUUUGAUUAGCUAAUGAAUACUUCGUGAUUCCAAUCAGUCUCAUAUCCUGCAGCUUUACUAAUUGGCAGCCAUGCAGAAUGUCUUUAGCAUGCAGAAAUAAGUCCACAUUAUUUGAUUAGCUAAUGAAUCAUUCUUGAUUCCAAUCAGUCUCAUAUCCUGCAGCUUUACUAAUUGGCAGCCAUGCAGAUGAACUCAUGAUCCAUACAACUUACAAUGUGAAUUUUUACUUAUUUACAUUUCUUCUAUAGACGACAUUACAAUAAUAACACUAUUGUGUUAGAAGAGAGUGUCCUAAUAUGUUGUUUCAAAAUUGAGAUCAUUAUUUUUUUAAAAGAUUGACAUUAUUGUUCUGCCAUGUUUGUGUGUGGUAAAAAGGAGUAAUCUGCUUCUAAAAUAUGAUGCAUAACAAAAGAAAUAUAAAACAUUUCAAAAUCCAAA